UUUGAGAAUGCAAGUUACAGCGAGUGCAGAUCACUAGUGCACUGUUGUGCAGUGUCAUCUCCACGUUACAAUAUUUGGGUGAUGGUUUCAUACUAGGAGCCUAUACAGUUCUCCAGAAUUAGGAUUAUGCUCAAACUUCCGUUCAAUUUAUACAGACAGUCAGGUAUAGAACAUUAGAAAAAAGGGGUUCUGAUGUACAGUUUACUAUAAUGAAAAGUAAUACUCCCUCCGUAAACUAAUAUAAGAGCGUUUAGAAUACUAAAAUAGUGAUCUAAACGCUCUUAUAUUAGUUUACAGAGGGAGUACUAUAUACUCUAGAAGUACUGCCACAGGUAAUUGUUCUGCUACGAAAUUCUUGGUCCCACUCUGCAAUUUAAUCAUACUGAUGAAAUUUAAUAGUACAAGAUGCGUUAACCUCAGCAAGAUUCAGCAUUAU
rnacentral:lncRNA from 1 species